rnacentral:tRNA from 1 species
GCCGAAGUGGCGAAAUUGGUACACGCGUACGGUUCAGGGCCGUAUGAGCGUAAGCUCUUGUGGGUUCGAAUCCCACCUUCGGCA